UACGAAGGGGGCUAGCGUUGCUCGGAAUUACUGGGCGUAAAGGGCGCGUAGGCGGCUGUUUAAGUCAGUGGUGAAAGCCCAGGGCUCAACCUUGGAACUGCCAUUGAUACUGGACAUCUUGAGUGCGGGAGAGGUGAGUGGAACACCGAGUGUAGAGGUGAAAUUCGUAGAUAUUCGGUAGAACACCAGUGGCGAAGGCGACUCACUGGCCCGUAACUGACGCUGAUGCGCGAAAGCGUGGGGAGCAAACAGG
rnacentral:rRNA from 1 species